rnacentral:rRNA from 1 species
AGAGUUUGAUCCUGGCUCAGGACGAACGCUGGCGGCGUGCCUAAUACAUGCAAGUAGAACGCUGAAGACUUUAGCUUGCUAGAGUUGGAAGAGUUGCGAACGGGUGAGUAACGCGUAGGUAACCUGCCUACUAGCGGGGGAUAACUAUUGGAAACGAUAGCUAAUACCGCAUAAUAGUGUUUAACACAUGUUAGAGACUUGAAAGAUGCAAUUGCAUCACUAGUAGAUGGACCUGCGUUGUAUUAGCUAGUUGGUGGGGUAACGGCCUACCAAGGCGACGAUACAUAGCCGACCUGAGAGGGUGAUCGGCCACACUGGGACUGAGACACGGCCCAGACUCUACGGGAGGCAGCAGUAGGGAAUCUUCGGCAAUGGGGGCAACCCUGACCGAGCAACGCCGCGUGAGUGAAGAAGGUUUUCGGAUCGUAAAGCUCUGUUGUAAGAGAAGAACGUGUGUGAGAGUGGAAAGUUCACACAGUGACGGUAACUUACCAGAAAGGGACGGCUAAUACGUGCCAGCAGCCGCGGUAAU